AUGCCGUUUCGUCCGUGUCCUUUUGGAUGCGGUCGUUUCCUGUCUUCGGUUGACGGUCACGAGCGUUGUCUGCAGUGUCUGGGCGUCCAACACGCUGAGGCUGCGCUCGUGGAUGAUUCAUGCGUCUACUGUGGGCGUAUGAACAUGGCAGCACUGCGAUCGCGUCUCUCACUCCUCAAGGGGAGUGCAGCAGACCCCUCUGUCGCCACCCGUCCCGGUCUCUCUGGCUCGAGCAGAGGGCCGCCGGCUGGCGCUCUGGGAGAUCUGAGGAUCACAGUGAGAGCUUCUCCGCCGGGCCACGCCCCACGGACCUCUCACUCCUCACGCAGCGACUGUCCCGUGCAGCUGCCGAUUGAUUCUGCUGGGCCGUCUCACAGCGGUCCCAGCGUGUCUUUCAGUGCGCCGCCCGAAGACCAGAUGUCGAUUGCUGCAUCGGGGGAUGGGUUAUCGACCUCUGAGGAUGAAGGUUCGGCGGGGCUGCCCCCCUCGGGUGUUGUCGCUGCUGCCGAAUCGGACUUGGAGUUGUCGGCCAUGCUUGCCCGGGCAGCCGUGAGUAUCGGACUGGAGGUGACUACACCGCCCAGUCCCGAGCCCUCACGGCUGGAUGAUUGGUUUCUCGGCGCGGGACGCGGCUCACAACCUCGUUCUGCUCCGGUGCCUUUCUUCCCGGAGGUGCAUGAAGAGGUGACGAAGUCGUGGACGGCCCCUUUCACGGCCAGAAGCCGCUCUUCUCCCUCUUCCAUCCUCACCACCCUCGAUGGCGGGGCAGCCAGGGGGUAUGUGGAGGUUCCCCAGGUGGAGAGGGCGGUUGCGGUGCAACCCCAAGUUCAAUGGCGUGCUCGAGACUUCGGUGGCAGUCCAGGACGCCCCUGUCUUGCGCGAGGAGAUUGCUGUCCUCCUGGCGAAGGAUGCAAUCGAGCCGGUCCCUCCAGCCGAGAUGAGGACGGGGUUUUACAGCCCUUACUUCAUCGUGCCCAAGAAGAGCGGUGGCCUUCGACCUAUCCUGGAUCUGCGAGUCUUGAAUCGGGCCCUACACAAGCUCCCGUUCAGGAUGUUGACGCAGAAACGCAUUAUCAAAUGCGUCCAGCCCCAGGACUGGUUUGCAGCGAUCGACCUGAAAGACGCGUACUUUCAUGUCUCUAUCCUCCCUCGUCACAGACCGUUCCUGCGCUUUGCUUUCGAGGGUCAGGCAUGGCAGUACAAGGUCCUCCCCUUCGGGCUCUCCCUGUCCCCCCGUGUCUUCACGAAGGUCGCGGAGGGCGCCCUUGCCCCACUUUGGGAAGUGGGCAUCAGGAUCCUCAACUAUCUCGACGACUGGCUCAUUAUGGCCCGGUCCCGAGAAGAGUUGUGCGAUCACAGGGACUUCGUGCUUCGGCACCUCAGUCAGUUAGGGCUUCAGGUCAACCGGGAGAAGAGCAAGCUCUCCCCUGUGCAGAGAAUCUCUUAUCUCGGUAUGGAGUUAGACUCGGUGAGUAUGACGGCACGUCUCACCAGCGAGCGUGCCCACUCAGUGCUGAACUGCCUGAGUUCCUUCAGAGGCAGGACAGUGGUACCGCUGAAACACUUUCAGAGGCUCCUGGGGCAUAUGGCAUCCGCAGCCGCAGUCACGCCGCUCGGGUUGCUUCAUAUGAGACCACUUCAGCACUGGUUACACUCCCGAGUCCCGAGAUGGGCAUGGCGCCGCGGUACACAUCGUGUCACCAUCACACUGAUGUGUCGCCGCCUAUUCAGUCCUUGGUCGGACCUUGCCUUUCUACGGGCCGGCGUGCCCUUAGAACAAGUGUCCCGGCACGUUGUUGUCACAACAGAUGCCUCCAACUCGGGCUGGGGCGCGACAUGCAACGGGCAGGCAGCCUCAGGGUCCUGGACAGGACCUCGACUGCUUUGGCACAUCAACUGCCUGGAGUUGCUGGCAGUGCAUCUAGCUUUGCGACGGUUUCGUCCGCUAGUGCUGGACAAGCACGUGUUGGUCCGCACGGACAACACUGCGGCUGUUUCGUACAUCAACCGACAAGGCGGGUUACGAUCACGUCGCAUGUCUCAACUCGCCCGUCAUCUCCUCCUCUGGAGUCAGACGUGGCUCAAGUCGCUGCGCGCUGUCCACAUCCCGGGGGAGCUCAAUCAUGCAGCCGACGCGCUCUCACGACAGCUCACUUUCACUGGGGAAUGGCGACUCCAUCCCCAGACGGUCCAGCUGAUCUGGAGUCGAUUCGGGGAAGCCCAGGUAGACCUGUUUGCUUCCCACGAGUCCUCCCACUGCCAGCUGUACUAUUCCCUGUCCCAGGCCCCCCUGGGCACAGAUGCACUGGCACACAGCUGGCCUCGGGCUUUACGCAAGUAUGCAUUUCCCCCAGUGAGCCUGCUCGCACAGACACUCUGCAAGGUCAGGGAGGACGAGGAACAGGUCCUGUUGGUUGCGCCUUACUGGCCCACCCGGACCUGGUUUUCGGAACUCAUGCUCCUCGUGACAGCCCCUCCCUGGCGCAUCCCCCUGAGGAGAGACCUUCUCUCUCAGGGGCUUGGCACCAUUUGGCACCCGCGUCCAGAUCUCUGGAACCUCCACGUGUGGCUUCUAGACGGGACGUGGCAGACCUAAGUGAUCUGCCCCCAGCGGUGGUAGACACUAUCACUCAGGCUAGAGCCCCUUCUACGAGGCAGGCCUAUGCUCUGAAGUGGAGUCUGUUCACGAAUUGGUGUUCUUCUCACUGA
ensembl:lncRNA